rnacentral:piRNA from 1 species
UUUAUUGCACAAUUGAUAAGG